CCGAGCCACCAGACAGCGCGCAUGGACGGGGGGGAGGCCGCGUCUUCGGCGGCAGCUCGAUUAAAUGGAAGCGCGUCUAAUCGCCUUAAUUAAUCAUCUCCCAGCCGCAUUGGCGGCGCCACGGAUCAUUUUUUUCUUACAUUCAUCGAGGGUGCUACGAAAUGUACACAAUUUAUAUUUCAAAUUAUUUUCAGAUAUUUCUUUGGGGUAUGGUUUGCUAUGUCCUGGGGAAAUGAACCAGCUCAUGAAGUAUAGGGGACACAAGGUGUACGAAGGAGAGCGACGGUCGGGGGUCCUCAUUGACAAAAACAUUCCUGUGAUCCCCGCAUUGAUACAGAGGGAGGGGAAAAAACCACAACAUGUGAAAGUGCACUAUUGCACUUUGGCUGGUUCCUAUCAAAGACGAAGGCAGCGUCAGAACAGGUGGUGUGAUGUGGAUGAAACAGAGCGUCUAACAGAAGAGAGGCCCGAAAAUGCCCCAAAGUGUGGCUAGCUCGCACUGCGGGAGGACAGCAGGUGAGGCUGUAGCUGUGAUGUGUCCCAAAACUUUUAUAAAACCCCCAGAACAUGGGAAGGAGAAGACAUACCGUCCAAGGACGAGGAUUUAUACCUGAAGAAUCGCAGGUCUGAGACCUGUCCUCGAAAAUAUGCUUAACCCAAACAAACUAUUUCCAUGAAGAGAAGAGAAAACUCAGAAUAGCUCUAAAUAAAAGUGUUUGCUAAGCAGCUUAAAAUUUACCUUUUCUUCUUCUCUGCUACUAAGGGCCUUAUGAUUUAUCUGCCAGGAUGAAGAAGGUGAGUAUGGAGAGGUGGAUGCCAAAUAUGUUUAUUUUAACCAACUCCCAGAUGCCUAUAGUGCAUGAUGGGAAAUUUCUUUCGCAAUUACUCAGAAAAAUGAUGGGGGGGAUGGAGGUGCUGGGAUAACUGUAGGGGCAGGAUGGGUCAAGGCUGUGCUUUUCUGUCAUCUUCUCGCUGUCUUCAGACAUACUUAUGCACGACAUGUCGUUCAUCUCAUAGGAUAAAGGAGGGAGGCGAGGCGGAGAGAAAGAAUCGACCUCGACUCGCACAAACACGGGAGCGGACAUGAGGCGGCUGACGUCAAGAGAAGAUUUUAUUUUGCAGGCCCCCCCCAUGGGUCAUCGUUAUGUUAAAAUCACUGCUGUCUGAGAUGGUUAUGAAGAAGGUCAACGUUUUGGGAGAUGUUUUGUGGAGAUGA